GAGUGUAACCGCACGUCUUGUUU
ensembl:miRNA mir-2209.3 ncRNA